rnacentral:tRNA from 1 species
ACUAUUUUGGCAGAUAAGUGCAUUAGAUUUAGAAUCUAUAAAUGUGAUUUGAAUUACAGAUAGUA